rnacentral:rRNA from 1 species
GGGCGAAAGCCUGAUCCAGCAAUGCCGCGUGAGUGAAGAAGGCCUUCGGGUUGUAAAGCUCUUUGGUCAGGGAAGAAACGGUGAGAGCUAAUAUCUCUUGCUAAUGACGGUACCUGAAGAAUAAGCACCGGCUAACUACGUGCCAGCAGCCCGCGGUAACUACGUAUGGUGCAAGCGUUAAUCGGAAUUACUGGGGCGUAUAAGCGUGCGCAGGCGGUUUUGUAAGUCUGAUGUGUAAAUCCCCGGGCUCAACCUGGGAAUUUGCAUUGGAGACUGCAAGCUAGAAUCUAGGCAGAGGGGGGUAGAAUUCCACGUGUAGCAUUGAAAUGCGUAGAUAUGUUGGAGGAAACACCGAUGGCUGAAGCAGCCCCCUGGGUCAAGAUUGACGCUCAGUGCUCGAAAAGCGUGGGGAGCGCACAGGAUUAGAUACCCUGGUAUGUCCACUGCCCUAACGAUGUCUAACUAGUUGUCGGGUCUUAUUGACUUGGGUACGCA